GAUGAACGCUGGCGGCGUGCCUAAUACAUGCAAGUCGAGCGAACAGACGAGGAGCUUGCUCCUCUGACGUUAGCGGCGGACGGGUGAGUAACACGUGGAUAACCUACCUAUAAGACUGGGAUAACUUCGGGAAACCGGAGCUAAUACCGGAUAAUAUAUUGAACCGCAUGGUUCAAUAGUGAAAGACGGUUUUGCUGUCACUUAUAGAUGGAUCCGCGCCGCAUUAGCUAGUUGGUAAGGUAACGGCUUACCAAGGCAACGAUGCGUAGCCGACCUGAGAGGGUGAUCGGCCACACUGGAACUGAGACACGGUCCAGACUCCUACGGGAGGCCGCAGUAGGGAAUGUUCCGCAAUGGGCGAAAGCUUGACGGAGCAACGCCGCGUGAGUGAUGAAGGUCUUCGGAUCGUAAAACUCUGUUAUUAGGGAAGAACAAAUGUGUAAGUAACUAUGCACGUCUUGACGGUACCUAAUCAGAAAGCCACGGCUAACUACGUG
rnacentral:rRNA from 1 species